CACGCCGUAAACGAUGAAUGCUAGGUGUUGGGGGUCAAACCUCGGUGCCGAAGUUAACACAUUAAGCAUUCCGCCUGGGGAGUACGGUGGCAACACUGAAACUCAAAGGAAUUGACGGGGACCCGCACAAGCAGCGGAGCAUGUGGUUUAAUUCGAUGCAACGCGAAGAACCUUACCAGGGCUUGACAUGUGGGUGAAAGCUGUAGAGAUACAGCCCUCUCUUCGGAGACAUCCAUACAGGUGG
rnacentral:rRNA from 1 species